UACGAAGGGGGCUAGCGUUGUUCGGAUUUACUGGGCGUAAAGCGCACGUAGGCGGAUGGUUAAGUCAGGGGUGAAAUCCCGCAGCUCAACUGCGGAACUGCCUUUGAUACUGGCCAUCUCGAGUCCGGAAGAGGUGAGUGGAACUCCUAGUGUAGAGGUGGAAUUCGUAGAUAUUAGGAAGAACACCAGUGGCGAAGGCGGCUCACUGGUCCGGAACUGACGCUGAGGUGCGAAAGCGUGGGGAGCGAACAGG
rnacentral:rRNA from 1 species